GAUGAACGCUGGCGGCGUGCCUAAUACAUGCAAGUCGAGCGAACAGAGGAGGAGCUUGCUCCUUCGACGUUAGCGGCGGACGGGUGAGUAACAUGUAGGUAACCUACCUAUACGGCUGGGAUAACUUCGGGAAGCUGGAUCAUACACCGUAUAAGAUUUCGAUCCGCAUGGUUCGCUAGAGAAAUGUGGCUUCGCUACCACUAAUUGAUGGACCUGCGCCGUAUUAGCUAGUUGGUAAGGUAACGCCUUACCAAGACAACGCUCAGUAGCCGACCUGAGAGGGGGACCGGCCACACUGGAACUGGGACCCGGUCCAGACUCCUACGGGAGCCAGCAGUAGGGAAUCUUCCGCAAUGGGCGAAAGCCUAACGGGGCAACGCCGCGUGGGUGAUGAAGGUCUUCGGACCGUAAGACUCUGUUAUUAGGAAAAAAGAAACGUGGAAGUAACUGUGCACGUCGUGACGGUACCUAAUCAGAAAGCCACGGCUAACUACGUG
rnacentral:rRNA from 1 species